AUUGAACGCUGGCGGCAGGCUUAACACAUGCAAGUCGAGCGGGGGAGGUUGCUUCGGUAACUGACCUAGCGGCGGACGGGUGAGUAAUGCUUAGGAAUCUGCCUAUUAGUGGGGGACAACAUUCCGAAAGGGAUGCUAAUACCGCAUACGCCCUACGGGGGAAAGCAGGGGAUCUUCGGACCUUGCGCUAAUAGAUGAGCCUAAGUCGGAUUCGCUAGUUGGUGGGGUAAAGGCCUACCAAGGCGACGAUCUGUAGCGGGUCUGAGAGGAUGACCGGCCACACUGGGACUGAGACACGGCCCAGACGCCGACGGGAGGCAGCAGUGGGGAAUAUUGGACAAUGGGCGGAAGCCUGAUCCAGCCAUGCCGCGUGUGUGAAGAAGGCCUUUUGGUUGUAAAGCACUUUAAGCGAGGAGGAGGCUCUUAAGGUUAAUACCCUUGAUGAGUGGACGUUACUCGCAGAAUAAGCACCGGCUAACUCUGUGCCAGCCGCCGCUGUAAUAC
rnacentral:rRNA from 1 species